rnacentral:lncRNA from 1 species
GAGGGGCAGUGUCCCUACCCAGGCUUGGAGGAGGAGCCUCAAGGGGUGUGUGUGGUUGGGGGAGACAGGCGGUGUCACCUGUGCUUAGACCAGGGGCGGUGGGCGGGUACCCUUGAGGUGGCAAGGUCACACUGCUCAUCAGAAGUUUCUCACUAGGGUCUUCUCUGGCCCAGCCUUUGACUGAAGCUGGUCUGGAGACAGGGGCGUUAGAGAAGUGACUCAUAGAUGGCCUAAAUAAGCGGGGCCACUCAAGGACCCAGGACAGGGGGAAGAGGGCCAACCCAUCUGGACCGCAGGCAAACCCCAUGGCCUUUGAGAGAAGAGAGAAGAGGACCCGGUGAAGAGCUGCACCAGGAACUCACAGAGGAUCAGGGAGAAUUCUGAGAACAUGCUACUGUGGUGCUGCCUAGAGAGGAAGGAUAAAUGAUGACAAGUACAUCUCUGAGUAACGUAUGGGCACUUGUUCAUGAAAACUGUUUUUCUGAAAGCUUGUGAAGGUCUUGAAAUACUCGCUAUCAGUUGAGGACAAACAUUUACACCCUCCUUCCACAGGGAGUUCAAGCAGGCUGGAUGGGUCCAUCUAUGGAUGAUCUUCCCCAGCCCCUUCCUCUUCCCAGCUCAUCCCUGGCUCUCUGUGUGAACAGGUCUCAUCAGUGGAAUGUGGUUGAUGAAGUGAGGUCUUCAAUUUUCUCAUCUACUGUGUGGUCAUGUUAUUUUCCUCAUCUGAGGCUUAAAAACUCACCUGCAUGCAGCACAUGACAGCUUAAAAUCUCUUGUGAACAAAACAGUAACAAAGACACCCACCAGCGUUGAGCAUCCCGUGUUGAUGACAGCGACCACCAGGGGUCAACGUCCUCUUCACAAUCCUGUGUCAGAGCAUCACUUGACUGAUUUCAUUAGCAACUUCCCAGGAGAAUCAGCUUACAAAAUACUUGUCCCAUUUUCCAUGCAGAUGUAACCCAUCUAUUUUACUGAAGAAAUGGGAAGAGCUGAAUGCUGAAUACACUGAAUGUCUGCAGGUUGUGCAAGUUUGUGACUUUAUCACUUUCUAAUUUCUGAUCUGUGUGGACCACUCUACAGAUUUUUCUCACUGGUGUGAUCAGCCUUCUGGAUGUCAAAUAUAAUAGACUUUCAAUAAUAUAAAAGUCAACACAAGCUCCUCAUGGUUUCAGUGCUCAGUGAUGACUCUAAACUUACACAAUGUGUUUCUUUAUUAGUUUUGUUUUCUGGUAUCUCUACUCGGCAUCUUCACCACACCCAUUUUAUGUUUCUUAUACAGGCUUUCUUCUAUGAAAUGCUAUGUCAUGAAUAUGCAAAUAACCUGAGAUCCACUGAGGUAAAUUUGGAUGUCUGUGCCCUGAGAGCAUCACCCAACAACCACAUCCCUCCUCUAUAGAAGCCCCUGAGAACACAGCUCCUCACCAUGGACUGUACCUGGGGGAUCCACUUCUUGGUGGCAGCUGCCACAGGUGUCCAUUCCCAGGUUCAGCUGUUGCAGCCUGGGGCUGAGGUGAAGAAGCCUGGGUCCUCAGUGAAGGUCUCCUGCCAGGCUUCCAGAUACACCUUCACCAAAUACUUUACACGGUGGGUGUGACAAAGCCCUGGACAAGGGCAUAGUGGAUGGGAUGAAUCAACCCUUACAAUGAUAACACACACUAUGCACAGACGUUCUGGGGCAGAGUCACCAUUACCAGUGACAGGUCCAUGAGCACAGCCUACAUGGAGCUGAGCAACCUGAGAUCUGAAGACAUGGUCAUGUAUUACUGUGUGAGAGACACAGUGCAAAAACCCACAUCCUGAGAGUGUCAGAAACCCCAGGAAGGAGACACCUGUGCUGACACAGAGGAGAUGACAAAGAUUAUUAGAUUAAAGAUUUGCUUAGAAAAUGACAUUAAGUCAUUAAAGAAAAGGAACAAUAUUAAUGUGUAUUUGAGAAAUUUUAAUUAUUUGAGAGAUUUUUCAUACAACAUUUAUUCUGUAAACAAAUUUCAAUGAUUAGAGAAUUAAUCAAAUUAAUGAAACUAAUAUAGAACUUCCUCUGAAGGUAUCUCUGUAAACAUUAAUUUCUUAAUCAGUGCUGUAAGUAUUUUGGAAUACAGACACAAAAUCACAUUUUAAGUCUGCAUUUAUAUCUAUUAAAAAUGCCAAAAAAAUCUCCUUUUGUGCGUGUAGCAUUUUGAAUUCCCACCAUCAAUGCAUGAUAGUUCUUGGUUUUCCACAUUCAUAUUGCCAUGUAUCCUUAUGAGAGUUGUGUGUUUUAACCAAUCUAGUAGGUGAGUAAUGGGAUCUAAUUUUUAUUUAAAUGCACAUGUCCCUCAAAAAGUUCAUAUUUAACAAUUUUCCAAUAACUUUUGUUGAGAUGCCU